CAGCCGCCGCGGUAAUACGUAGGGCGCAAGCGUUAUCCGGAAUUACUGGGCGUAAAGAGCUCGUAGGCGGUUUGUCGCGUCGUCUGUGAAAUUCUGCAGCUUAACUGUAGGCGUGCAGGCGAUACGGGCAGACUUGAGUACUACAGGGGAGACUGGAAUUCCUGGUGUAGCGGUGAAAUGCUGUAAUCCUCGGGGGACUACCAGUGGCGGAGGCGCUCGGCGAUAACGGGCCUGACGGUGAGGGGCGAAAGCUGGGGGAGCGAACAGGAUUAGAUACCCCUGUAGUCCCUGUCUCUUAUAC
rnacentral:rRNA from 1 species